CGGUCGGUGGAGAUAUAUCCCCUUACAUUGGCGGUCGGUGGAGAUAUAUCCCCUUACAUUGGCGGUCGGCGGAGAUAUACCGCCCUACAUUGGCGGUCGGUGGAGGUAUACCCCCUUACAUUGGUGGUCUUUAGAGAAAUGUCUCUUUUUCAUCAGUGGUCAAUUAAAAAGUGUCCCCAUACAUUUGUGAUUACCCCCUAAUGGUGGUGGUCACUGAGAGAAAGCCACUGACCACCAAUGUAAGGAGGAACUUCUCUAACAUAGAUGGUGGUCUUCCACUGACCACCAAUGUAAGGAAGAUCAUCUCUAAUGUAGAUGGUAUUCUUCCUCCGAACACCAAUGUAAGGAGGAUCUUCUCUAAUAUUAGUGGUCAGUGGAAGAAUACCAUCUAUGUAAAGAGGAUCUUCUCUAAUGUAGAUGGUGUUCUUCCACCAUUGUAAAGAGGACCUUCCUAAACCUAGAUGGUAUUCUUCCACUGUCCACCAAUAUAAGGAGGAUCUUCUCUAAUAUUAGUGGUCAGUGGAAGAAUACCGUCUAUGUAAACAGGAUCUUCUGUAAUGUAGAUGGUAUUCUUCCACUGUCCACCAAUCUAAAGAGGACCUUCUUUAACGUAGAUGGCGUUCUUCCACUGACCACCAAUGUAAGGAGGACCUUCUCUAAUGUAGAUAGUGCUCUUCCACUGACCACCAACUUAAAGGUUCUCCUUGUAUUGAUUGUCAGUAGUGAAGUAUCCAUUUACGUUGGUGGUCAUUGGAGAAAUGCCCCCUCACAUUUGGGGUCAUUGGAGAAAUGCCCCCUCACAUUUGGGGUCAUUGGAGAAAUGCCCCCUCACAUUGGGGGUCAGCAGUGAAGGUCUUUCUUACAUUGGUAGUCAAUGCUCCCCUCUCAUUGGAUGCCAUAGUAGGUGGGAGUUCAGUCUGUCACAGCUCCGCCCCCUCGAAGAACCCCGCUUUGUCACCUCAUUGAACCAUACAAACCUGCGGAAGAACCCCCCGGGUGGGUGGGGAAGGCUGCUCUAGGGAACCCUUUGAAUUCCUAGAAUCACAUCUUCUAUUUUUAUGGUGCGCUUUGUAUUUUUACACCCCUUUGUAUUUUCUUGGAAUGGCGGCUCUGUGCUGCCUGAAGAGGGAUAUUUUUGUACCUUUUUUGUAUUCUUAGGUAGGGGAGAUUAGAAUUCUCAUGGAAUGUUCAGUGACACCAAACUAAACACCUCACACUUCAAGCUGAACUCCAGACUCCUCUACAGAUUUCAUCGUCACUUCCUGUCCCGUUGUCGGAGUGAAAAGCGAGCGCGUUGUUGUUUUCUUUUCGCUAAGUUCUUCCAUUACGUCAUCGCUGUAUACAGGAGACUGCGGCUUUGCCCGGGUACCAUGAGGAGGGAUUGAGGGAGCGAUGACGUGGCUUUCACUGCUUUAUCAGGCUACAGUUGCUUGUGCAGGGAGUUGAUGGGAGUUGUAGUAUUCAGUUGGUGUGCAGAGGGCCAGGCACACAUUCCUGCAGGCGUGAGGGGGUGUGAUAGGCCAAGUCUUCUGGCCUAUCAGACAAGCUAUGAGGUAAUGGUGGGUGGGGCAGACCAAGAGUCUCCUGGCCUAUCAGACAAGCUAUGAGGUAAUGGGGGGUGGGGCAGACCAAGAGUCUCCUGGCCUAUCAGACAAGCUAUGAUGUAAUGGUGGGUGGGGCAGACCAAGAAUCUACUGGCCUAUCAGACAAGCUAU